rnacentral:rRNA from 1 species
CCUACGGGUGGCAGCAGUGGGGAAUCUUGCGCAAUGCGCGAAAGCGUGACGCAGCAACGCCGCGUGGGGGAAGAAGGCCUUCGGGUUGUAAACCCCUUUCAGGUGGGACGAAGCCUCGCCCGUUAACAGCGGUGCGAGGUGACGGUACUACCACAAGAAGCCCCGGCUAACUACGUGCCAGCAGCCGCGGUAAUACGUAGGGGGCAAGCGUUGUCCGGAAUCAUUGGGCGUAAAGAGCGCGUAGGCGGUUCGGUCAGUCCGCUGUAAAAGUCCAGGGCUCAACCCUGGAAGGCCGGUGGAUACUGCCGGACUAGAGUCCGGAAGAGGCGGGUGGAAUUCCUGGUGUAGCGGUGAAAUGCGCAGAUAUCAGGAGGAACACCGAUGGCGAAGGCAGCCCGCUGGGACGGUACUGACGCUGAGGCGCGAAAGCGUGGGGAGCG